ACAGCAGUAGCCACGGGAAUACGAGGGGGGCAAGCGUUGUUCGGAAUUAUUGGGCGUAAAGGGUGCGUAGGCGGUCUGAUAAGUUCUAUGUGAAAUCUAUGGGCUCAACCCAUAGUCUGCAUGGAAAACUGUCAGGCUUGAGAAUGGGAGAGGUGAGUGGAAUUUCCGGUGUAGCGGUGAAAUGCGUAGAUAUCGGAAGGAACACCCGUGGCGAAAGCGGCUCACUGGACCAUUACUGACGCUGAUGCACGAAAGCUAGGGGAGCAAACAGGAUUAGAUACCCGCGUAGUCCCUGUCUCUUAUAA
rnacentral:rRNA from 1 species